rnacentral:rRNA from 1 species
UACGAAGGGGGCUAGCGUUGUUCGGAAUUACUGGGCGUAAAGCGCGCGCAGGCGGUCUUCCAAGUCAGUGGUGAAAGCCCGGAGCUCAACUCCGGAACUGCCAUUGAAACUGUUGGACUUGAGUACGAGAGAGGUGAGUGGAAUUCCCAGUGUAGAGGUGAAAUUCGUAGAUAUUGGGAAGAACACCGGUGGCGAAGGCGGCUCACUGGCUCGAUACUGACGCUGAGGUGCGAAAGCGUGGGGAGCAAACAGG